rnacentral:rRNA from 1 species
CAGCAGCCGCGGUAAUACGAGGGGGGCAAGCGUUGUUCGGAACUAUUGGGCGUAAAGGGCGCGUAGGCGGUUUGGCAAGUUUGGUGUGAAAUCUUCGGGCUCAACUCGAAGUCUGCACCGAAAACUGCCGGGCUUGAGUAUGGGAGAGGUGAGUGGAAUUUCCGGUGUAGCGGUGAAAUGCGUAGAUAUCGGAAGGAACACCUGUGGCGAAAGCGGCUCACUGGACCAUUACUGACGCUGAGGCGCGAAAGCUAGGGGAGCAAACAGGAUUAGAUACCCCAGUAGUCCAUGUCUCUUAUAC